GUUAUAUCAGCUGUGUCGGUGAACCCCUCCCGCAUCAGAACUGGCUACAUAGAGGACACAGCAUGAUCAGAGGGGUGGACCUCGCAAAAUCCAGGAAUGGCAACAGCUGGUGUCUGACUGCGACUGAUUAUUUCUGUGGUUCUCCUGAGGUCAUCUUGAGUGACCGAGGUCGUGAACUCUGGAACAAGGUUUGGAUGAAUGGACCAACCACACCCUCAAGACUGCCAUGGCCAAGUCCCUUGACGGGUUCCUGGAAUGGUGGGAGGACAACCUGAAGGUCAUUCCCUUUGCACACAUCAGCAGCAUCCAGGCCUCCAGAGUACUCACCCUAUCGCCUGCUGUAUGGACGGGAGCUGCAGCUGUUGACUGAG
rnacentral:lncRNA from 1 species